CGCCUCUUGACUUAAUAAGAGGUCUAGCCUGCCCAGUGACCCAGUUCAACGGCCGCGGUAUCCUGACCGUGCGAAGGUAGCGUAAUCACUUGUUCUCUAAAUAAGGACUAGUAUGAACGGCAUCACGAGGGUUGUGCUGUCUCCCGCCCCCAAUCAGUGAAAUUAAUCUCCCCGUGAAGAAGCGGGGAUAAGACUAUAAGACGAGAAGACCCCGUGGAGCUUAAAACAAAAGGCACCUGCUAACCCUUUAGUUAAGCACCCUGACCCUUAGUUUUUGGUUGGGGCGACCGCGGAGAAAACCCACCCUCCACGCUGAACGAUUUUAUCUUAGCCAAAAGCAACUGCUCUAAGCAUCAGCACCCUGACACCCCUUGACCCAAUUUUAUUGAUCAACGAACCAAGUUACCCCGGGGAUAACAGCGCUAUCUACUUCAAGAGCCCCUAUCGACAAGUAGGCUUACGACCUCGAUGUUGGAUCAGGGUACCCAAGUGGUGCAGCCGCUACUAACGGUUCGUUUGUUCAACGAUUAAAACCCU
rnacentral:rRNA from 1 species